AAUUAAUUGACAAUUGAGUAAAAAAAUUAAGGAUAACAACGCUGGAAAUACCUCAGCGAAUCUGUAAGAUUUAAUCCCCUUCCUGAUAGAACCCAAGGGAGCUGGAAAGUGAGCACUUUGGAAGAGCAGAGGAAGAUGAGAAGAAUGGAAACGAAGAAGGCAAGCAAUUUGGUGGGAAAAAAGGUGGUUCUGUAAAACAGUGGAACCCUCCAGAUUUAAACAGUGAAGAACCAACAGCUCUCCCAUUUUACCCCUGUAGCUCUCCAACCAGCUAGUUGAAAUCCAACCAGACACCUCUCAACCCUAAACAACAGCUGGUUACAUCCCAAGGAAAGAGAGGGCAAAACGGGAAAAAUACAGAACAAUCAGUCAAGGGCAAAAUGGCAAUUUUACUGUGCAAAAAGAAAGGAAAAGCUGGCUGUACAGUUUUAAAUGGAGGCAUUUUUGUAAUUUUACUGUGCUUAGCUACAGUGUUUAGUUGCAUUGGGUUUUAGUAUAUAA
rnacentral:lncRNA from 1 species